rnacentral:rRNA from 1 species
UACGGAGGGUGCAAGCGUUACUCGGAAUCACUGGGCGUAAAGCGCGCGCAGGCGGUCUUUUAAGUUGGAUGUGAAAGCCUACGGCUCAACCGUAGAACUGCAUCCAAAACUAUUAGACUAGAGUGUGGGAGAGGAAGAUGGAAUUAGUUGUGUAGGGGUAAAAUCCGUAGAGAUAACUAGGAAUACAAAAAGCGAAGGCAAUCUUCUGGAACACUACUGACGCUGAGGCGCGAAAGCGUGGGGAGCAAACAGGAUUAGAAACCCCAGUAGUCC